GGAAGCUGAAUCAGCUGAGAAAAGAGGAAAACUAUGGAACAUGUAUUUGUUUGCCUCCCUCUGUUUGGAGGCAGUCUGUGCAGUCCAUACUUCUGUCAGUGAGCAUUUACUCCCUUAAGAACUUGAAUCCACUCACAUAAAUGUUCACUGGACUGAGUCAAGGAGUUACAAUCCUUAUCAUUUAGCACUGGGGAAGCGCUGCAGUUUUGUACAGGAAUGCAAUAACAUGAGCUGGAAUGAUCUGGCUUCUUACCACAUGGGGCUGUGGAAAGAAAAACAGCUAUUCUUCCCUGCCUAUCAGCAUUCAGGAGGACAUGCACUGAUCCCUUGUCAUCUGGGCUCUUGUUCCCCAAAAGUUUUCUGUGGAAAGUUAGUAUUGGAAUUUCAUGGUAUUUUGAUUGAACAAAGGAUACACAGUGCAUUUCUCUUCCUCACUGAAAUACAGCCUGAUUCUCAAAACUUACAGAAGGGGCAUGGAGCUCGGUGGGAAUACACUGAAACACACCAUCAUGUAGGAGCUUGAUCCUCCUCUCACCGAGCGACUUCAGCAGGCAUCGAAGGAGGCCUUGCACCACCCUCUGCCUCCUUCCUGCCUUCAGCACUGGCUUGGGGCUCUUCAGCAGCUACUUUAUUCAGCUGGAUCAACGCAGUCUGAAAUCACUUUCUCUUCUUACAGCCAUAACAACACAACUCUCUUUCAUCCCUGGAGCACCAUCCAUCCUCUGAAUGGAAGGAAGUUUUAUGAAAAGGAGUGUUGUUUAAUCAUGUAUGUAAAGCUAUAGUUUAAAGUGCUGCUAUAUGCAGCACGGCUGACUGUACAUUGAAAGCAUGACCUUAGCAUGAGUAGCUUCUAACUUUUCAGUUCUUGACUUUGUUCUGGUAAAUUUAACUAAAUAUAAAAAUACCUAUGCAUUGACUAAGCUACCUCAGUGACUGCAAAAUCUUAUUAUUGUUUUUCUUUUUCUCUUCUUCAUUUUUUCCCACUAUACAAACACUGCUUUCCACAGACCACAAACCUUGUAUUUCUGAUAGACAAUGUCCUUAAAAAACUCAAAAUGCUUGACUUUGCAAAUUUGUGUUGCAACAAGGGUGGAGUGCCACAGAGUUUGUACAUUUAACAAAACUUAAUGUGCAGAUGACUAAUGUUAAUAGAUAUUAAGAUAUAUGAACUACCAUCAAGGGAAAUUCUUACAAUGUUUGCUUGGGUUUGAAUAUAUGUGUGCAUGCUGGCAUGUACCCUUCCUAUGAGAAUUUAACAAUACUUAUUGUAAGUACCCACACAUUGUGUAAAAGCUCGCUGAUUAUUUUUGAAAAGCACUAAGGACAUGUUUUCUUUUGUGCAGAAAAGACCUUCUAUGAAUUUACAUAAAUAUAGGAAUUGAAUCACAUUUUGGCAUGCACUACUUGGACACAUCUAAAAAAAUCAACAUUAAAAAAACAGUGAAAUAAUUUAGCUUUUCCAGGCCCAGAUAUCUUUUGUUAUGAUAUGGGGAGAGGCAGUGGUUUAAUAAUCUGAAACACCAAUCAUCGUGAAAAAACACAUGCACUCAAUGCACUGUCCUGCUCUUUAUUUGUGCUAUAGCACCCUAGUGCUUCAUUCCUUCUUCUUGGCUCAAUCCAAAGGCUAUUGAAUUCAGGGGAAAACCACCACUGACUUCAGUGGGGAAUAGAUCAAUCUCAAAAAAUAUAUAAUUGUACAGGGUAACAACUAAUUUUAUGACAUGUGUUACAAAUCUCUCUUCCUUAACAGAACUUACAGCUCUGUCUCAAUAGCAUUAAGUUAGAGUAAGAAAGGAAGAGACAACUUAACCUUCAGCAGAGAAGAUCUUGGAUUCUUAAAUCUCACCAUAGAAACAACUAUAUUUUGCUUUGUGUCACAUCCCCAGGCCAUGGAAUUUCGAAUGGAGAGGCUGAGCAUGAGGCAUAAACAAGUCACACCGCAGUAGUUGUGCAAAAAUGAGCAGAUUGAAAGAUAGAGAUCUGAAAGCCUGAGAAAAUUGCUUCUCAUGCUUUUGGGGAAAAAUGUCACUGCUGGAUGAGUCUAUGCUGCCUUUGUAGGGCUCAGUCAUACAUAUUUCAGGCAUUGUUUUGAACUUGGUACAGCUUGAUUUACCAUCUUCACAUGUGUCCAUCCCCUUAGUCAGAUCUUCCAGUGGGCGGUAGAAUAUGAAAGAAACAGGUUCAAAUCCCAAAUGUCUUUGACUAAGAGUAUCUGUCUGUCUUACAAGUUUGAUAGCAAGCUGUAGGAGAGCAAAAGGACAAGAUAAACACAAGCUGGAAGUGCUGCCUCAUUAGGCAGGAUACUUCUAAAAGAUCUAUCAUAGGUUAUGAGGCUGGAAAUGAAUAGAGCAGAAAAUAAUUAAGAAUUAAGAAUUGACAUCAUUAAUAUUGUCAAUAAUGUGAGGGAUUAUAUGAUAUCUUGUGUUUUUAGACACAUAUAGAUCCCAUUGACUUUGAUGAGAUUUAUAUUCACAGAUCUGGGGGGAAACGAUCCAGUAGAUAACAAAAACUCAAUGUAAUCUUUGCAUUUCUGGGAUGCCAAUCUCCCUGGAAUCUCAGCAGAAGCUGAGAAAGUAACAUUAAUCACCUGUCUCCAGCUCUGAACUCGGAAUUUAUUUGUCUUACUCUUUCAGCACUUUUUGGUUACUCAGGAAGAACAGGUGACCAGAAAGGAAAGCUUGAAAGGUAUAUCAUUCUGUUGGGCAUGGUUAGACUUCUGUUUAGAUUGCUCUAAGCUAGAAGCCAGAGUCACCAUGACUGACUCUGUUAAACUGGAGUCUGGAGCCCUGAUGGAUUGUGUUCUUCAUGGAUUAAGCCCUUCACGGAUGACUGUGCUUAACUUAAAUAAAUUCACACUACAGAUGAGUUAAAUUUAUUGAGUACACUCAGUCUACGUGAGCAUUUUUCCUUCCUGGAUUCCCAUUGCCUUCCCAUAUUCUUAAAUAUACUAAACUAGGAUUCAUCCUGACAGGUGCAAAGUGCUUCCUAUUGCCCCAAAUUACAAAAGAAAUUAAUGGAGAAGCUAAUCUACACAAAUUCCUCUCUCUGCAAGGGUGUUGCAGAGCAAUAGUACAGCUGCUGCUUGCUCCUGCUGCUGCUUUCCUGCUUCCCUCUGAUCAUUCUCCAGAUUAGUCUGGCUUGUGUUUGUUUGCAUGGCAGUUUUUGAUUCAUCUGUUUGCUUAUUGGGGGCAUUCUUGGCUCCAUAGACACAGCUUCUGGGCUUCAGGCAGUCUGCAUGACAAGUGCCCCUCCAAGACUCCUUCACCUUCGGAGGUGCCAUAAAGGAAUUUUUAUGAGACAUCUAGUGCAGUCCUCAACUAAACUUUCCUCGGGUACAGAAAGAGAAAAAUGAAAAAAUUACCAAAGAGGGUCCAUCGACAAGUAGCAGGGACAAUAGGCUGUCAGUAGGAUAUAACUCACCCCAGUAAAACACAAGACUUAUAAAUACUGCAUAUAUUUACAGAGGAAUUGAGGAGCUGCUGGAUAUCACAAACAGAACCAGAUCCUGCCCUGCAUUGCCUACUGAGAAUUUGCAAUAAUGCCUUUUUAAGUAUGCAGCCUAAAUUCUUAAAGAACAUGUUAGUGGACAUUUAUAUUUAUAUUUUAAGUAUAGGUCCCACUGGUAUCCGUGGAAACAGGGAUUUAAAAGAGCCCAGAUGGUAGCAGUGUUUCUAUUCUCAGGAAAAGAGGAAUAGUUUCUGGAAAUACAGCCCUUAUCUGUGAUGUAGAAAGGGAGAGCUCUACUAGGAGAGAAAAGCCCAUGUUAAAAACCUCAAUGGGAAUCUCAGGGCUUACCUAGUUGCUAACAAGUGUUGCCUAUUUAAUUGUUUAGUUCCCAAAUACCAUGGAUAUUGUGUCUUCGAUCUACAGAAUUUUCAGCAAAGCAUUGUGUUAAAUACUUUGGAGUAGCAUAUUACUGUGGCAAAUGUAGCAGUCAGCAGGCUCACAAAUACAGUCUUAAACAGAAGAAACUGCUUAGCAGAGGUAAAGAAAAUAUUAACCAGGAUGUUGGCAUUUAUUUCCAUAUUCUUUAAAUAAAAGGGACACACAGACAAAUACCAGAGAUAUGCAGACAUGACCUUAAUUUAACAGCUAAUCCCCAAGGAUGACAUCUCUUCCAGAGACAGUGUUUAAUUAGCAUUGCAGAGCAAAGUGAACACUGGGCAUACGUCUGCUUCCUGGUAUGGAACGUGAACUGUCAACCUAAAGGGAAGAGGAUGGGUAGACACCUCCGUAACCUCAUCUCUACAUUUUUUUUGUUAAAGGGUCUUAUUUAACAUAAUAUUUUGACAGAAAAUUACAUAACUCAUUGUUCUAUUUUUGUGCAUUUGUUUUGUUCACACAGUGAGUACAGCAAACACAAGUGCAUGCAUCAAUCUCUGGCCUGUGCUAAUGGGCCUCUUGAAGUCCUUGGAUAAUUCAAACCCAAAUAAUCUGAGUUUUACAGCUGGUACCAAAUUUGCUUUUAGAAGUGCUUGUAGCUUCAGUGAAAGAGUCAGACAACAGACAUCAAUGUGUUUGAGGAAGACCAGUGACUGUAGUGAAAUAAAGUGAAUGUCAUAUUAGAGCAAUGACUAAAUACAGCUAAGCUUAUUUAGAGCCCUAACCUCAGGUUAACCUCAUAAAAUUACCAUGGUUCUUAUUAACUUUUGGUUAGGGAUUGCAAACACUCCCUUUCAGCUACACUGAAACAUAAAGUAAUGGCAGAAGCCUGGAAAUAACUGCUGUCCAUGGCAAUGUUUAAGACUUUGAAGUGAACUGAUGGCUCACAAGGCAAGAGAGGAUCACAGAAACUGGAAGACCAGGAGUUGAAGCAGGUGUGGUGUCCUCUGUACAUCAGAGGACAGUGCCUGGGAUCUGGGGUGAAAAAUAUGAAAGAAUCUGCCCUAUAUUAGAGGCUGACCUGUGCCAUAAGGUAUGAGGUUCUAGAUCUCUUCGAAACUUUUGUUUCUGAGAGGCGGUGAGCCUCAUGAGCACCAGUCUGCAUGCCUUUGCAAUCUUUCAGCACUUGGGCUGUCCUUUGAAGAGCCCAGAGAAGCCAAAGCCUCUCUGGGAGCUUGCAAUAACCAAUAGAGUAAAUAAAAUUUUGGGUGGAGUAAAAAAUGCAGUACUGAGAUUUAGAAAGGGAAAGCAAGGUCACAGUGACUCAAAAAGCAUCUGUGCUACCUUAGAGUGAGACUGGCAUGCUUUGAAAUAGAAGGAAGGAAGAAAAAAAGUGUGAAGGUUAUUGAGAUUGUUAAGUUUAACUUGGCCAUUCAGGGUCAGAUCCUUUUAUUGACUCAAUGACAGUCACACAAUAGCCCUGGGAUGCUGUUGGGCUGAACUUUUCCUGAAUUACCUAGGGGACUCCACUACUGCAAAAUUCACAGGGAACUUGAGUCACCUUUGUAGUUACUGUGUUCUGGCAAGCAAAUAGUACCUUCCAGUUAAAAGAACUCACUGCUCUCUUAGUGGUGCCCCAGAAAUAAAUAUAUAUACCUCUGCGAUAGUUUGUCAAAUAUAACCUCGUGAGACAAAACACACAACUGGUGUCUAAAAUUCCCCCUGAGCAAAAAGAAAGCUUCCCAUACAAGGUUACACUGGCAAAGUGAACCCUACCUUGUCAGUGGUAAUACUGAAAAAUCAAUGUCAACAAAGCAACAUGACACUUAAUCUAUUGCUUGAUAAUAUGCCAGCAUUCCAGAAAUGGACUUUGUAAGGUUUUUAAGAACAAAGUUUAUAGUUCUGUUACUACAUUACAAAUGUACUGUAUACAUACACAAAGGCGGACAAGAAAGAUGCAUUAAAAUUCCAAGGCA